rnacentral:rRNA from 1 species
CACGUAGGGUGCGAGCGUUGUCCGGAAUUAUUGGGCGUAAAGAGCUCGUAGGCGGUUUGUCGCGUCUGCUGUGAAAACUGGAGGCUCAACCUCCAGCCUGCAGUGGGUACGGGCAGACUAGAGUGGCGGUAGGGGAGAUUGGAAUUCCUGGUGUAGCGGUGGAAUGCGCAGAUAUCAGGAGGAACACCGAUGGCGAAGGCAGAUCUCUGGGCCGUAACUGGACGCUGAGGAGCGAAAGCAUGGGGGAGCGAACAGG